AUUGAACGCUGGCGGCAGGCCUAACACAUGCAAGUCGAGCGCGAAAGUCUUCGGAUGAGUAAAGCGGCGAACGGGUGAGUAAUGCAUGGGAAUCUGCCUGGUAGUGGGGGACAACGUCUCGAAAGGGACGCUAAUACCGCAUACGCCCUACGGGGAAGGGGGGAGGUCUUCGGACCUCUCGCUAUCAGAUGAGCCCACUGUCAGAUUAGCUAGUUGGUAGGGUAAAGGACCUACCAAGGCGAUGAUCUGUAACUGGUCUGAGAGGAUGAUCAGUCACACUGGAACUGAGACACGGUCCAGACUCCUACGGGAGGCAGCAGUGGGGAAUAUUGGACAAUGGGCGCAAGCCUGAUCCAGCCAUGCCGCGUGUGUGAAGAAGGCCCUUGGGUUGUAAAAGCACUUUUCAGUGGGGAGAAAGGUCUGGAACCUAAUACGUUUUGGAAUUGAUGUUACCCACAGAAGAAGCACCGGCUAACUCCGUGCCAGCAGCCGCGGU
rnacentral:rRNA from 1 species